GAAAUGCGAUAAGUAAUGUGAAUUGCAGAAUUCAGUGAAUCAUCGAAUCUUUGAACGCACAUUGCGCUCGCCAGUAUUCUGGCGAGCAUGCCUGUUCGAGCGUCAUUUCAACCAUCAAGCUCUGCUUGCGUUGGGGAUCCGCGGCUGCCCGCGGUCCCUCAAAAACAGUGGCGGGCUCGCUAGUCACACCGAGCGUAGUAACUCUACAUCGCUAUGGUCGUGCGGCGGGUUCUUGCCGUAAAACCCCCAAUUUCUAAGGUUGACCUCGGAUCAGGUAGGAAUACCCGCUGAACUUAAG
rnacentral:misc_RNA from 1 species